rnacentral:rRNA from 1 species
CCUACGGGAGGCAGCAGUGGGGAAUAUUGCGCAAUGGGCGAAAGCCUGACGCAGCGACGCCGCGUGAGGGAUGAAGGUCUUCGGAUCGUAAACCUCUGUCAGCAGGGAAGAACGGUCACUGUGCUAAUCAGCAGUGAAUUGACGGGACCUGCAAAGGAAGCACCGGCUAACUCAGUGCCAGCAGCCGCGGUAAUACGGAGGGUGCGAGUGUUAAUCGGAAUUACUGGGCGUAAAGCGCUCGUAGGCGGUAUGUGAAGUCAAGGGUGAAAGCCCGGCGCUCAACGUGGGAACUGACUUUGAAACUGGCAGACUGGAGUGUGUGAGAGGGUAGUGGAAUUCCAGGUGUAGGAGUGAAAUGCGUAGAUAUCUGGAGGAACAUCAGUGGCGAAGGCGACUAUCUGGCACAUAACUGACGCUGAGGAGCGAAGGCGUGGGUAGCAAACAGGAUUAGAUACCCUUGUAGUC